GCAUUAAUGGGGUAGUGGUAACCUGGGUCGUUGCCAUCAUAUCGAAACAAUCUAUUCUCGACCCGCCGGGGGUUCGAUUCCCCCUUAAUGCA
rfam:Schizophyllum commune H4-8 unplaced genomic scaffold SCHCOscaffold_20, whole genome shotgun sequence.